rnacentral:tRNA from 1 species
UGUCCUUUAGCACAGUUGGUAGUGCGUCCGACUGUUAAUCGGGAGGUCAACAGUUCAAGCCUGUUAGGGACAG